GAUGAACGCUAGCGGCAGGCCUAAUACAUGCAAGUCGGACGGGAUUCAGGAGCUUGCUUCUGAUGAGAGUGGCGCACGGGUGCGUAACACGUAUGUAACCUACCUUUAUCAGGGGGAUAGCCUCUCGAAAGAGAGAUUAAGCCCGCAUAAAAUCACAGCACAGCAUUGUGUAAUGAUCAAAUAUUUAUAGGAUAAAGAUGGGCAUGCGGAACAUUAGCUAGAUGGCGGGGUAACGGCCCACCAUGGCGACGAUGUUUAGGGGAUCUGAGAGGAUGGCCCCCCACACUGGUACUGAGACACGGACCAGACUCCUACGGGAGGCAGCAGUAAGGAAUAUUGGUCAAUUGGCGGAAGCCUGAACCAGCCAUGCCGCGUGCAGGAAGACGGCCCUACGGGUUGUAAACUGCUUUUAUACGGGAAUAAACCCAGAUACGUGUAUCUGGCUGAAUGUACUGUAAGAAUAAGAAUCGGCUAACUCCGUG
rnacentral:rRNA from 1 species